UGUGGGAGAAGAUGCUGGGGACUGUUCAAUACACUCCUGUGACUCUGGACCCAAACACAGCACAUCCCAACCUCUCACUGUCUGAGGAUCUGACCAGCGUGAGACGCAGUCGUGAGAGACAGCAGGUUCCUGAUAAUCCAGAGAGAUUUGAUGCGGGGCGGUGUGUGCUGGGCUCUGAGGGAUUCAGCUCAGGGAAACACUGCUGGGAUGUAGAAGUGGGGGAUGAGGUCUGGGUGGUGGGUGUGGCUAAAGAGUCUAUCAGCAGGAUAGGGGUUGUGAAUCUGAGCCCAGCAGGAGGAGUGUGGGGUAUAGAGCUGCUCGAUGGGAUAUACGCAGCCCGGACCUCCCCACCUAAAGGCCUCACUGUGCGAAGGAAACUCCAGAGGGUCAGAGUGCAGCUGGACUGGGACAGGGGGGAGGUGUCAUUCUCUGACCCCAGUGACAACACUCCUCUCUACACUUUUAAACACUCCUUCACAGAGAGAGUGUUUCCAUUCUUCUGGCCUGGUCCUCUGCGGAUCUGUCCACUGAAGGUGAAGGUGUCUGUAAGAGUGGAAUAGUGCUGUGGUUUGUGGGCAAGGAUCAGGUGAACAGACUGCUUCUUUCACUUUGACAAGAUCAAUGAGUAUAUUUGCAGAUAAUAUCUUUUACAAUAUUUUAUUGAAUCAUUUACAAAAUAUAGAUCAAUUUCUGCAGCAGUUCAUGAUGAAUGUAACUUUGAAAUCUCAUGAUGUUGCAAUAAAAAUCAGGUUAAAAGAACUGCAUUCCAUCACAUCUGAGCAGCAUUAAUUAAAAUAUUUGCCGGUCAAACAGCAUCAACAAAAUAUUAUUUUAGUUGAAACGUUCUGUAAUGUUUCCAUGAGAAGUGUCUAAUUUCUUUUCACAUAACUUCCUGAUGUUAUCACUGAGUAAUAACUGUGCUAUACGGUGGUGGUGUAAGUAUGUGGGUUUGUGUGUAAUCAUUUGAGGUGUAAUAAAUCCACCAGUGGAAUCA